rnacentral:rRNA from 1 species
UUUCCAGACUCCUACGGGAGGCAGCAGUGAGGAAUAUUGGUCAAUGGCCGAGAGGCUGAACCAGCCAAGUCGCGUGAGGGAUGACGGCCCUACGGGUUGUAAACCUCUUUUGCCGGGGAGCAAAGAGCGGGACGCGUCCCGCCUCGAGAGUACCCGGAGAAAAAGCAUCGGCUAACUCCGUGCCAGCAGCCGCGGUAAUACGGAGGAUGCGAGCGUUAUCCGGAUUUAUUGGGUUUAAAGGGUGCGUAGGCGGGCAUUUAAGCCGGCGGUCAAAUGUCGGGGCUCAACCCCGGCCUGCCGUCGGAACUGGGUGCCUUGAGUGGGCGAGAAGUAUGCGGAAUGCGUGGUGUAGCGGUGAAAUGCAUAGAUAUCACGCAGAACUCCGAUUGCGAAGGCAGCAUACCGGCGCCCAACUGACGCUCAGGCACGAAAGCGUGGGUAUCGAACAGGAUUAGAUACCCGAGUA